CCUACGGGUGGCAGCAGUGGGGAAUAUUGCACAAUGGGCGCAAGCCUGAUGCAGCCAUGCCGCGUGUGUGAAGAAGGCCUUCGGGUUGUAAAGCACUUUCAGCGGGGAGGAAGGCGUUAAGGUUAAUAACCUUGUCGAUUGACGUUACCCGCAGAAGAAGCACCGGCUAACUCCGUGCCAGCAGCCGCGGUAAUGCGGAGGGUGCAAGCGUUAAUCGGAAUUACUGGGCGUAAAGCGCACGCAGGCGGUCUGUAAAGUCGGAUGUGAAAUCCCCGGGCUCAACCUGGGAACUGCAUUCGAAACUGGCAGGCUAGAGUAUUGUAGAGGGGGGUAGAAUUCCAGGUGUAGCGGUGAAAUGCGUAGAGAUCUGGAGGAAUACCGGUGGCGAAGGCGGCCCCCUGGACAAAGACUGACGCUCAGGUGCGAAAGCGUGGGGAGCAAACAGGAUUAGAUACCCGAGUAGUC
rnacentral:rRNA from 1 species